CUUGAGCGAGCCGAGCCACAGCGGUUCCGCCGUCCGGUCCCGGCCGUAGGUGGCCAGUAGGGCCUGCGCCUC
rnacentral:antisense_RNA from 1 species